GAAGGAGUCCACACUCCAC
rnacentral:snRNA from 1 species